rnacentral:tRNA from 1 species
GGGCUUUUAGUGUAGCGGUUUAACACGUCCGCCUGUCACGCGGAAGAUCAUGGGUUCGAAUCCCAUAAGGCCCG